GGCCGGGUGGUGCAAUGGUAACACGCGCAACCUACUUCAUUUGUGAGUUCCUCGUUUGAUUCGGGGUCCGGUCU